CCCAAGCAGCACACUUUGUUACAACUAAAUCACGCUGUGCAACCGAAAAAGCGCAGGAGGUGGAGCCUUUGUGCAACAUGUGGUUCGUUGCAUAAGAGAUUAGAUGGUAACCAAUGUGUAAUGUAGUUUGUUUACACUGCGAUAGAAAAAUAAACUCAAAGUUACAUUGUUGGUUUCGACAUAACAA